rnacentral:lncRNA from 10 species
GGGAGAUAGGCCUGGUUUCUAUAAACAAUGAUGCAAGACAGAACAUGAUGUGCCAGGAGGGACAGAGUGCCAAGGUGGGGACAAAGGAAUGACGAGUCCCGAAAUAGACCUGUGGGAAAGGUGUUGUGAUGCUGGGAGGCUGGACUGGAUCUUAAAGAAGAACUGCAAACCAAUUCCCAAUUAAUGAAUUUGCUGAGUAGUUCCUCCCCAAGGAGAGUCAGUCUGGCAGAGACAUUCAGCUCUAGCUGAGGCCAGGCUAGAUCUGUUGGACCAGAGUCGACCUGCAGACCUGUGAACAUGAGCAUAAGUGUUCGCUGAGAGCCAAGGAGUUUUGGUGUGGUUUGUUACAAAGCUUUGUCCAGGCAGCAGCUGACUGAUUCCUGCCCUGGCAGAAAACUGGAGCACCCAUCUCUUUAUGUAGAAGCCAGUGUCCACAUCCUGCUCACAUUUGGGACAUCUGUGAGGCAGGGUGCCUCCUUUUUGUCCCUCCAAGAGGACAGUUGGGGGACUUGGCCUCUGGCCGCCUCAAGUUGGGUCAGCACCUGCUGGGCCUCAUCCUGGUUCAUCGUGCAUCAAUGGGAGCGCACCUGGGUUCUGCUGACAUGUGAGAGCUUCUUCACCGAGGGGUUCAGAAAAGUGUGCUCAUGGCCUGUAGAUCUGGAUUCAAAGGGAGAUGAGAAAAAUAGGAACUGAGCCCGUGGCUUGCCUCACCCACUUCCUGAGCCUGCGCAAGGGACAAGACUUUCCUGUGUGGCCUUCUUACGGCAGUCCACAGGGAAGUGGCCUCAUUUUCUGUGUCUGUCCUGCCCAGCGCCCCCACUCUCCUGUGCUGGUCCCAGGCCAUCCCUUAGCCAGAGUGCAGAACUCCAGACCCCCAAUAUUCUCUCAUAUCCUCAGAAUCUUCAGCUUCCAUCCAUGGAUGUUGGCUGAAUCCUGAGUGGGGUCGUAGAAAGAUCUGGUCCUGUGAGUAGGGGGGCGAGGAGGAAGGCAGGGACUUCAGCUGGGCUGUCUACAACCUGAGUCUAAAACACCUAAAGACAAGCACAACUUGCCCCCGCUAGGACGAAUUUCUUGCUCCAGACCGCCUCACUGCAUCUCUAGGGCCAUGUGUAUUCCUGCUAUUUGGCCACAUUCCUUGAGAAAAAUUGCCUAUUAAAAGAAUUUCCUUAUUCACCAGUUAU